UACGAAGGGGGCUAGCGUUGCUCGGAAUCACUGAGCGUAAAGCGCACGUAGGCGGCUUCUUAAGUCAGGGGUGAAAUCCUGGAGCUCAACUCCAGAACUGCCUUUGAUACUGAGGAGCUUGAGUCCGGGAGAGGUGAGUGGAACUGCGAGUGUAGAGGUGAAAUUCGUAGAUAUUCGCAAGAACACCAGUGGCGAAGGCGGCUCACUGGCCCGGUACUGACGCUGAGGUGCGAAAGCGUGGGGAGCAAACAGG
rnacentral:rRNA from 1 species